ACGAGUGGCGGACGGGUGAGUAAUGUCUGGGAAACUGCCUGAUGGAGGGGGAUAACUACUGGAAACGGUAGCUAAUACCGCAUAACGUCGCAAGACCAAAGAGGGGGACCUUCGGGCCUCUUGCCAUCGGAUGUGCCCAGAUGGGAUUAGCUGGUAGGUGGGGUAACGGCUCACCUAGGCGACGAUCCCUAGCUGGUCUGAGAGGAUGACCAGCCACACUGGAACUGAGACACGGUCCAGACUCCUACGGGAGGCAGCAGUGGGGAAUAUUGCACAAUGGGCGCAAGCCUGAUGCAGCCAUGCCGCGUGUAUGAAGAAGGCCUUCGGGUUGUAAAGUACUUUCAGCGGGGAGGAAGGGAGUAAAGUUAAUACCUUUGCUCAUUGACGUUACCCGCAGAAGAAGCACCGGCUAACUCCGUGCCAGCAGCCGCGGUAAUACGGAGGGUGCAAGCGUUAAUCGGAAUUACUGGGCGUAAAGCGCACGCAGGCGGUUUGUUAAGUCAGAUGUGAAAUCCCCGGGCUCAACCUGGGAACUGCAUCUGAUACUGGCAAGCUUGAGUC
rnacentral:rRNA from 1 species